GGUGCGAGGGAUUAAACUCGAUCAUUGCAAAGUAUGUCAACUCAAGGUACAAUCUGGUUGAGUUCAUUCAACACUUUAAUCGUUGUGUCGACCAUAUAAGGUGGAAAGAGGUCCAGGCUGACCUCGCCUCUGUGAAUGGGAGACCCAGUAUGCAAACCUGUUUUCAACAGUUAGAGAGGAGUGCUGCCAAUGUUUACACCCUAUCAAUAUUUCAUAUGUUCCAACCAAUCCUUGUACGGGCUGCAUCAAUGAAGGUAAUAAAUAUGAGGCAAACUGGCUCUUAUGUGAUUUACUCUGUCGGUUUGGACCAAACGCCAAAUGAGAUGUGGCGUGUAUUCUGUUGUGACAUUGAGAUGGAAUUCAAUUGUUCAUGUAUGAGAAUGGAAUCACUUGGCAUACCUUGUGAACACAUAGUUUGCGUCUUGGUGCAUGAAGAUAUAGAGGAGUUGCCAAGGUCAUUAGUCUUGUCUCGGUGGACCAAGACUGCCAAAGUGGGUUUGCAAAAUGCGGUCGGGCUUCAUUGGGAUUCUUUGAUGCUAAGUCAGUACGGUUGUUUGAUGGAUUGGUUUAGACAACUAGCUAACUUUGCUUGCCGAGAUAACGAGAGAUUUAUCUUUACACGGGAAAUGGCUAUGAAUUUGUUGAAACAAUUUAAGGAGGAAGAUGUUGCACAAAAAGGGGGUGUCAAUGAUGCAGAUAGUAUAAGAGAUGGUGUGCAAGUGGAUGCUUCUGGAGCUGGUCUCGCAACCAAUGAUCUCGGACAUAGCAUGCCAAGGGACCCAAGAAAAUGUAGGACAAAAGGGGGGGCUUCACAGUCCAAUAAAAGAAAACAUCGAUGUGGACAGUGUGGCAUGGAGGGCCACAAUCGAACAACUUGUCGUGUUCGUCGUGGCAUCUCACAGUCAGAAGGCUUUGGAAAUGACACAUUUGAUAAUGACUCGGAUGACCACAUGAACAUUGAAGAUGACUCAUUGGUAUAUGAUGAGAGUGCUUCCUACAGUAGCAAUGAGGUGCUGUAAUAAGCUUUUGCGAUGGUUGAUGUUGUUCGUGUUUAUAACUAAAGGUUGAGAACAGGAGUACAGGGGAGCUCAGCUUCUUAACUUCUUUGAUGAAUUCUGCAGGUUCAAUGGUUAGAGUAUUCACAAGCCUCCAAGAAAAUGCACCAAAAAGCGUUGUAAUGGGUUCCGCAAUUGGUGUUGAUACAAAUUUCACCAUCCUAAGCCAGAUAUUGUUCUACCAAAAGCCAAGGGUCACUGAGAAAGAGAAGAAAACGAAAUAGAAGAACUAUACAAAGUCAUGUAUACUGCUACUUCCGAGUUCCUCGUGUUCAUCUUUCAACAGGUGCUACGUCAUUGAAGCCAUACUCAAACUUUUAUCACUGUUGAAUUGACCCUUUUGAACAUUUACCUUUUUUCAACUGCUGAUUCUUAAGGUAGCCAACUUAGAAUGGGUAAUUGGGGGACUUAAAUGGGUAAUUUCGGAGAGUGAUGUAAUAUUUUUUUUGGGUAUUUUAAUUGAUUUCAUGUAAUCUUUUGUUUUGGUAUUAACUUAAUGCAAUUUUAACAUUUCAAAAAGUUUUUAUAAGGUAUUGUAUAAUUAGGAUCAAACAAGUG